GAUCAUGGCUCAGGAUGAACGCUAGCUACAGGCUUAACACAUGCAAGUCGAGGGGCAGCAUUCCAGUUUGCUUGCAAACUGGAGAUGGCGACCGGCGCACGGGUGAGUAACACGUAUCCAACCUGCCGAUAACUCGGGGAUAGCCUUUCGAAAGAAAGAUUAAUACCCGAUGGCAUAAUAGAACCGCAUGGUUUGAUUAUUAACGAAUUUACGGUUUAGUCGAUGGGGAGUGCGUUCCUACUUAGGUCG
rnacentral:rRNA from 1 species